rnacentral:rRNA from 1 species
ACUUGGAUAACUGUAGUAAUUCUAGAGCUAAUACAUGAAUAUGUGCUUUGGUUCACGCCAAAUGCGAAUUUAUUAGAUCAAAACCAACCGGUUUCGGCCGUUAAAUUGGUGACUCUGGAUAACUAUUCUGAUCGCAUGACCUUGUGUCGGCGACGUAUCUUUCAAGUGUCUGCCCUAUCAACUUAAGUUGGUGAGUUAGUUGCUCACCAUGGUUAUAACGGGUAACGGAGAACCAGUGUUCGAUACCGGAGAGGGAGCCUUAGAAACGGCUACCACAUCUAAGGAAGGCAGCAGGCGCGCAAAUUACCCACUCUCAGAACGAGGAGGUAGUGAAUUUAAAUAGCGAUGAUGAACUCUUAUGAGGCUCGUCAAUCGAAAUGAGUACAAUUUAAAUCCUUUAACGAGUACCAAUUGGAGGGCAAGUCUGGUGCCAGCAGCCGCGGUAAUUCCAGCUCCAAUAGCGAAUAUUAAAUUUGUUGCAGUUAAAAAGCUCGUAGUUGGAUCCAAGGUUAGGCAUGCCUGUCUGUUCUUAGUAGCAUGACUGUGUGUGUCUGCCUUUAUUAGUUGAAUGUUCAUUAUGGUGGUCUUCAUCGACUGCUAUGAUGUGCUCAACACGUUUACCUUGAAAAAAUCAGAGCGAUCAAGGCAGGCCUUCGUGCUUGUAUGUUGUUGCAAGGAAUAAUAGAAUAGGACUUCGGUUCUAUUUUGUUGGUUUUGAGAAUUGAAGUAAUGAACAAUAGAGACAGUCGGGGGCAUUUGUAUGGUGGCGUUAGAGGUGAAAUUCUGAGAUCGUCGCCAGACAAACUACUGCGAAAGCAUUUGCCAAGGAUGUCUUCAUUAAUCAAGAACGAAAGUCAGAGGUUCGAAGACGAUCAGAUACCGUCCUAGUUCUGACCAUAAACGAUGCCGACCUACAAUCGGGGGUGGCUUAUUAUAUUGACCCUCCCGGCUGUCCUCAGGAAACUUUAAGUUGGUUCUGGGGGGAAUAUGGUCUCAAGACUGAAACUUAAAGGAAUUGACGGAAGGGCACCACCAGGAGUGGAGCCUGCGGCUUAAUUUGACACAACACGGGGAAUCUCACCCGGUCCGGACACUGGUAGGAUGGACAGAUUGAUAGCUCUUUCUUGAUUCAGUGGGUGGUGGUGCAUGGCCGUUCUUAGUUGGUGGAGUGAUUUGUCUGGUUAAUUCCGAUAACGAACGAGACUCUGUCCUGCUAAAUAGUCCAGUGGCAUCAAUC